rnacentral:rRNA from 1 species
AGUGAACGCUGGCGGUAGGCCUAACACAUGCAAGUCGAACGGCAGCACAGUAAGAGCUUGCUCUUACGGGUGGCGAGUGGCGGACGGGUGAGGAAUACAUCGGAAUCUACUUUUUCGAGGGGGAUAACGUAGGGAAACUUACGCUAAUACCGCAUACGACCUACGGGUGAAAGCAGGGGAUCUUCGGACCUUGCGCGAUUGAAUGAGCCGAUGUCGGAUUAGCUAGUUGGCGGGGUAAAGGCCCACCAAGGCGACGAUCCGUAGCUGGUCUGAGAGGAUGAUCAGCCACACUGGAACUGAGACACGGUCCAGACUCCUACGGGGGGCAGCAGUGGGGAAUAUUGGACAAUGGGCGCAAGCCUGAUCCAGCCAUACCGCGUGGGUGAAGAAGGCCUUCGGGUUGUAAAGCCCCUUUGUUGGGAAAGAAAAGCAGCAGGUUAAUACCCCGCUGUUCUGACGGUACCCAAAGAAUAAGCACCGGCUAACUUCGUG